rnacentral:pre_miRNA from 1 species
AAUGAUGGAGGUGCAGGCGUUUCCUGGGGAUUAAUGACCAGCUGGGAAGAGCCAGUGGCCCUCGGCUCUGCCUCCCAGCCAGCCAUUAACUCCAAGGAAAUGUCUUUUGCUGAGGUCAUU